CUCCAAAUUGUAGUUCUCUCUCUCACGCUGAGUUUACACUAUGGAUGAAAACCCUAAACACCCUACGCACGUUAAUCUCCUCCACGCACGUCGCGAACUCCCUGCACCCUUCAUCUUCUUCACCAAGUGAAGCCAAAACGUUUCCUUUUUCCUUGACCUGCUCCACGCUCUAUCCUUCUUCAGUUCCAUCGCCAACACAUUGAAGAGCGAGUGCAACCGAAGUGCCGAAACAUGGCAGAGAUGUUGAAGUUCUUUGCCGCAAAGGAGAGGGGCAGUGCCUAUAACGUUGAAUGAAGCCAGUGAACUGCAAAACCUCAUUCGUUUGUCGCCACAGAAGCAGAGUAAUCAAGUUGGCUUGAAGUGGAGCAUGUAAUGGACAAUGAGAAGUAAGCAAUUGAACGAGAAUGGAGUUUUCGGUGACAGAGUGAGAAAUCAUGGCCCUUGAAAGGUUUAUUUGGCAGCCUGAGUAUAGUGCUCCCCAAGUCGUGUUGUGUCAGCACAAGGAAAGCUAUAGAUGACACACAAGAAAGAUGCAAAUGCCUUGAGUUGGAUUUGAUCAUGCAAAGAAUUGUUAGCUAUUGGCUCAUUUGAGUAUACUGGAGGUGUUGGCAGCAAGCAAUCGUAUUGAUUCUUCAUUGUUAUUCUCAGGCAGCUGAGUAGCAGGUUGUUUUCAGAUUCAGAUCAUUCGGUUUCUUUGUUGGAGUUUGGUCAUUCUGCAGCUAUAGGGAGUCUUAGGUUGAGUUUUUUAUGAUUUUUAACUUGUAUUUUAUUGUAAGAAUUUGCACUUUGUGCUGUACUUUGAAGAUCACAUCAAUGAAAUUCUGCUUAUGAAGAAUUACAUAUUUGACAGAUUCUGUUUUUAUGAAAAU